CCAACCCCUACAGGUAUUGCAGCUUUGAUUGCUGUAUCACGUGGGUCAGUAGGUGGCAGUGUGGAAAGAUGCUAUGUCAAAGCUAACUUUUCUGACCUGUGGACAUCUGAAUGAUUACUGGCAUAACAUU